rnacentral:lncRNA from 1 species
GAGGGUGCUCUACAAACCUUAGAGAACAUCUGAAUUAAAAUAUAACAUCCUCAUUCUGCUAAGGAAAUUUCAGCUCUCUUAGAGUUGCUAAAGCAUCUUGUCCAUGUCUUCUCUUGGAGAGUACCUAAAAAAAGUGCAUAUGUAUAUGCAAUAGAAACGUGAGUAAUUUGUUGUGGGGGUUACAUAUGCGAUAAGAGUUUUUCUUGAAGUUUUUUUCAACGUUUUUGUCCUUUAUGGUGCUUUGCCGUCAAAGUAAGAUCCUUGUAGUACACUUAUUACAGUAAACGUUUUGUGAUCACGGCAGAUUGAAUGCGCAUGUGUACAUGAGCAACUGUACCACAACGAUGAGAAACGUAAGUUACAAAGGGCAAUCAUGAUGCGCAUGUUUUUCAUUUUCUUUUUGCGCUUGUUUUUCUGUUUUUCUCUUAUUUUGUUUUUGCUUGUACUUUUUUACUUGUAAGGAUCAGGUUUGAAAAAGAGUAGGGAAAAUAGCGUUGUUUGGUUUUAAAGUGUCGACGCGCCGCACACCCCCCACCCAAAUGUUCGUGGAACACCCCCUUCCGUAAGAUAGCCGACUUUGUUAGCGCGAGAUGGCAAAACGCCAUUACAACCAGGCUGGAGAGAUAUAGCAGUGCGAUAGAAUUCUUCGUUCUUGUAGGUUCUUGUAGCUUUCUUCAAUUCAGGGUUAGCCAUGAGAGGAAUUCUCGCGCGUUUUGCCCUCACGUGCUAACAAACUCAAGUUAUUAUUAUUUGUAAAAAUGCCUGAUGGCUGACUACCUAACUACCUAUAAAUUUCACGCCAGGAGGUACGAAGAGGGAGGUAUAUGGGCUAUAUAGGUAUAUGCGGCCCCAAAGAGUAUAUGAUUUUUUAGCGAACAUUGUCACGACACCAACUCGCGCGGGUGACGCGCGAGAUGAGUGAACGUUCCCAGCAUUCUCUGCAACAACAGUUCGUCCAUGUUGUUGAACCGCGAAAGUUGAACGAGGCUGAAAAAAGGCAGACUAAAAGGGAAGAUCUGCGCUUGGAGCUGGAGAGCUCAGUUAGCGGGCGAUUGAACUCGGAUUGCAGCUGAAGACAAAAUACCUGAGGACAAGACAGGAGGAGGAUAUUAGCCACAAUUUUAUUCUAGAAUGAUGUUUUUUUUUUGUUUUUUUUGUUCUUUUUUGCAAUCCAGGACCAGGUAAACACUUGUGCUCUUAUGCAAUGAUCAAAUCAAAACUUAACCUGGUUCCUUCAGGGGAAUCCCCCAAAGGGCAUCCCUUCAAGGUACGCAAGUCAUCAAAUUCUACAGCAGGAAAACAAUUAAAAUGUACCACUUUUUUUUCUUUUUUUAAUUAAUGCACUAUUAUUAUAGGAUCCAAAAUAGUCAGGGAAAUUUUUGUUUUUCAAAAUCAGGAAAAGUUCAGGGAAUAAAUUAAAAAAUGGGAAGGUUCCCUUUUGUACUGUUCCUUUGAAAAAAAACAAUAACUAGACCAAACUACUGAACUCCAUUCGAAUUAAAACCUAUAGUACAACACACUUUCAAUGCUAAUUACAAUGUAAGAACAGACACUACUCAACUUAUACCAACAACUACUCACCCCUACAGAAGUCACUAUGGUAAUUCUUGACCUCAACAGAACUCACAUGAUGUCCUUCAACCAGCCUCAACACAAACUUCACCAAAAGUAAACCAGUUGAAUCAAACCAGAACUGAUCAGUCACUACUAAUAAUAUGCACCUUUUCAUAGCGGCAUCAGUGCUUUCACGCUAGACAGACUACAUAAUGAUACUUGUGCACUUUUUUUUGUGGUUGGCAACUUGACAGUUGUUCCUUUGUGCACCUCAGAAUGAGACGUACUGUUAUGACUUCCUCAAUCCCCCCACCCCCCCUCCCUGUCACUCCCCAACCUUGUCAUGAUUCACUGUUAUUUCCCAGGGUUCCCCAGGUUAAGGGUUAGUUUUGAUUUGAUCAUUGCAUUCCUUGAUGUAAACCACGUUCUGCUUUUAAUUUUGAAAUACCGCAGACAUGUAAAUGAUUUAAAAUGUUUUCAUUGACUCAGUAAAUAAAUUAGUUUUAAAGUGGAUAACAUUUCAUUUGAUUAUAUUUUAUGUUUUUACUGUAUUUCCUCCUUGAAACCCCUGUUGGACUUCCUGAUUUUUGCCCAUACAUGUAUGUGAGAAGGGGAAGCUCAUUGGAAGAAGGGCAUAAUAGUAAAUCAAAUAUCAAAACUGCAAUUUGUAGGUUGAACAGGAGAUUUGGAAAGACUUCCUUAUUAGAAUGGAGACUUGAUAUAAUCAAUACUGGCAAUUCAAAGUUCUGGGAUUGUACAAAACAAUCAGAUGAUCUGUAUAAAUUUAUUGUUGACACCACCAGGAAAUUCUGUCCUUUUUGACCUCAAAUGGAAGGGCUUAGAAAUUUAAGGCUGAAAGAUUGCUGAGCUGCUGUUUCACUGCUACUCUGUAAUAUGAUCACCCACCAUAUAGAUCAAAACAGGAAAAAGAAAGAGAUUGGGGCUAAUUAUAAGGGAUACUGGAUAGAAGGAGUUGAAAGGAAAUUCUGACUAAAAUUCAUCAUUUAACACCCCCUCCCCCUUCCUUCUCC